GCCCGGGACACGCCCGGAUCCGGCUUUGCCUCAUCCCCAUCUCCCCUUUUUCCCGCAGGGCUCCGGGCGGCCGUGACCCUGCUGGAGUCCGGGGGGGACCUCCAGCCCCCCGGGGGGUCCCUGCGCCUCCUCUGCCGAGGGCAAGGAUUCCAGUUUGGGGAUUUUGGGAUGUACUGGAUCCGGCAGAGACCCGGGAAGGCGCUGGAAUUGGUCGCUGGGAUCAGGGAGAAUGGUGCCUUCACCGACUACGCGCCAUCCGUGCGUGGCCGGUUCACGAUUUCCAGGGACAACGGGCAGAGCUCGGUGACGCUGAGCAUGAACAACCUCCAGGACGAGGAUUCCGGCGUUUAUUUCUGUGCCAAAUCUGCUGGUACUGGUGUUUAUGGUGCUGCUGAUGAAAUUGGAUAA